UACGUAGGGGGCAAGCGUUGUCCGGAUUUAUUGGGCGUAAAGAGCUCGUAGGUGGUUCGGUAAGUCGGAUGUGAAAUCUCCAGGCUCAACCUGGAGGGGUCAUUCGAUACUGCCGUGACUAGAGGUCGGUAGGGGAGUGUGGAAUUCCUGGUGGAGCGGUGAAAUGCGCAGAUAUCAGGAGGAACACCCGUAGCGAAGGCGGCACCCUGGGCCGAUACUGACACUGAGGAGCGAAAGCGUGGGGAGCGAACAGG
rnacentral:rRNA from 1 species